rnacentral:rRNA from 1 species
GUGGGGAAUCUUGCGCAAUGGGCGAAAGCCUGACGCAGCCAUGCCGCGUGAAUGAUGAAGGUCUUAGGAUUGUAAAAUUCUUUCACCGGGGACGAUAAUGACGGUACCCGGAGAAGAAGCUCCGGCUAACUUCGUGCCAGCAGCCGCGGUAAUACGAAGGGGGCUAGCGUUGCUCGGAAUUAAUGGGCGUAAAGGGCGCGUAGGCGGACAGCUUAGUCAGAGGUGAAAGCCCAGGGCUCAACCUUGGAAUUGCCUUUGAUACUGGCUGUCUUGAGUUUGGGAGAGGUGAGUGGAACUCCGAGUGUAGAGGUGAAAUUCGUAGAUAUUCGGAAGAACACCAGUGGCGAAGGCGACUCACUGGCCCAAUACUGACGCUGAGGCGCGAAAGCGUGGGGAGCAAACAGGAUUAGAAACCCCAGUAGUCC